rnacentral:snoRNA from 1 species
GCACUUGAAUCUUUCCCAUCCCUUGUAAUGCCGUUGGGGGUUUGGGGACACAAAGUGCUUACAGCAAAGCAGAGGAAAUCCAGACAGGUUGCUUUCCAAUUUCAUUGGGGGCUUGUCUCUACAACUCUGCAAUAUUU